CCUACGGGGGGCUGCAGUGGGGAAUAUUGGACAAUGGGGGGAACCCUGAUCCAGCCAUGCCGCGUGUGUGAAGAAGGCCCUCGGGUUGUAAAGCACUUUCAGUGAGGAAGAACGCCUGGUGGUUAAUACCCAUCAGGAAAGACAUCACUCACAGAAGAAGCACCGGCUAACUCCGUGCCAGCAGCCGCGGUAAUACGGAGGGUGCGAGCGUUAAUCGGAAUUACUGGGCGUAAAGCGCGCGUAGGUGGCUUGAUAAGCCGGUUGUGAAAGCCCCGGGCUCAACCUGGGAACGGCAUCCGGAACUGUCAAGCUAGAGUGCAGGAGAGGAAGGUAGAAUUCCCGGUGUAGCGGUGAAAUGCGUAGAGAUCGGGAGGAAUACCAGUGGCGAAGGCGGCCUUCUGGACUGACACUGACACUGAGGUGCGAAAGCGUGGGUAGCAAACAGGAUUAGACACCCCUGUAGUC
rnacentral:rRNA from 1 species